AGUCCGGUAGUGUAGAAUAGUACUCAACGGUCAAGCAUUUAGGGCUUUGAACCCUGAGACCACGGUUCGAAAAUUUACGAGAAUGCUCGUAGAUAGAAACUCCGUGCCGGACUA
rnacentral:tRNA from 1 species